UACAGCUCAGAUUCACCAGCAUCCUACUGAUGAUGGAGAUGGUUCGGCUUCAUUAUAUCAAAAUCUUACAGAAAUAAUCAUUCAUAAAACAGGAUCUCGUCCGGUUGAUGCACAGCAUGUGUACGACAUGGAUAAACACAUUGAUGGAUUCCUCCAUCCACAAAAACGGGAUACUGUUCAUGACAGCAGUGGGACACUCUUGUGGACAGAACCUGAAUUCUCAUCAUUCAUACAUGGCCUGACAGGAUGGGAUGAUAUUCACGAAGAAGAUGCUUCGCAUCACAUGAACAUUUUUAAGCAUUAUUCCCGGACAGAUAUGAUCCACAUGUACAAACACAUU